GCUGUCUCCAGGUAGGUGGUGUCGGAACUGAACUGUGGGGCAUCCAGUUGGUGUUGUAGAAUGGCUUGAUGUGGGGAAAACCAGCGCAUUUUAGGAGCAAUUUUCUGUGAGUAGAUGGACCUGGGGAGUUUUUCUUGACACAGCCCUAACACACCAGGUUUGUACCUGAUACCAGGAGCCAGAGUAGAAUUCAAUUCUGCUUCCAGCACAGCUGCUGACUGCCUGGCCCCAAAGCAGCAGUAUGAGUGUCCAAGAGGGGAUGAAUGAGCGCCGGGCCCGCUGGUCCAGACACCUGCAAGGAUGGAGCAGCUGGGGGGUGGGAGGCCCUCUGAGCGCAGGGAGGGCUCCGUGGCCUUGCUGCCGGUUGUCCACCAGCACGCCCCAGGUAAGGGGGUGCCCGGGCCCAGAAAUGGGUCUGGCAGAGUCAGGAAAGGCAGCGUUGGCACAGCUGUGGCUGUGGGGCAAACAGAAUCUUGCGCUACCCUCUGGGGGACACCACGUCCACCUCUUGACAUUCCUACCCCAAUGACUGCAAUUAUAGGGUGUCACCAAGCACCACCUAGCUCAGAGACAUCUUCCCAUCAUUGGCCACUCCCGGGCCCCACAGGCCCCCUGUUUGGCUGACUGGUCUCUUGGGCAUUGAGGGGAGGCAUCCACAAGUGCCCACCUGUGGCCAAGGGUUUGCUCAGGAGGGCUGACCCUGCAGCCAGCUGCUAGAUGCCCCAGUUUCCUUGUCCCUCUGACUUCGCCCCAGCAGCUCCUUGUCCUGCUUACCCCUCCAUGUGGAACCUCUGGCUGGGUCAGCCCCCGGCAUGGGGGCUGGGGGAGCAUACCACCUGCCUCCCAUCUUUCACCCUAUCUUUCCCCAAAGCCCCACUCUUUUUUCUUUCACAGCCGAUCCUGAGGGUCUAGCUUCCCUUUCUACAAAGGCCAGGUUGGCUUCGCUUCCAGAAGUUUCCUGGAUGAAGGGGAAAUUAUUUGCAUUUUUCUCCUGGGAGCUGCUUCAAACCCUGGAAUGGGCUGGAUCCUUCUGCAACAAAGAAAAUGAAGAGGAAAAAAAACCUGUAGUUUCCAUAUCAAACCAGAUGUUGCUGUCCUAACCCUGGUACCUGGGAAUGUGACCUUAUUCAGAAAUAUGGUCUUUGCAGAUGGUCAAGGUAAGAUGAGGUCAUUAGGGUGGGCUCUAAUCCAGUACGACUGGUGUCCCUAUAAAAAGGGAAAUUUGAACACAGAGACAGACACGCACAGAGGAAAGACUGUCUAAAAACACAGGGAGAAAAGAGGCCAUCAACAAGCCGAGGAGAGCUCUAGGCUACAGAAGCCAGGAGAGAACCUGGGACAGGCUCUCCCUCAGGGCCUCAGAAGCAACCAGUCCUCCUGACACCUUGAUCUCCAACUCCCAGCCUCCAGGACUCUGAGACAAAAAAUGUGUCAUUUAAGUAGUUUCUUACAGCAGCCCCAGGAAACCAACCAGGCACCCUACCUGAAUUUGCUUACUUGCUCUAGUCUAUCAAGUGCAAAAGUACUUAUGGAGGACGUACUGCGUGCUCUCCCUUACUGAGCUUCACGGGGAGUGCUGAAGGAGCAGUAGAAAGGAAGAGGAAGAGACCAGGACGCACCUCACCCGAGGGAGCUGAGAGAGUGGAGGGCCAGGUAUUGCUGAGCUGAGCCUUGAUGGAUAGGUACGUUCCAGAUUGGAGGGGAGAGGGGCAGUCUCCCCUGUGAGAGAACACCCUGGUAAAGGCUCAGAGGUCACUCCAGAGGUGGGGUCCAGAGCCUUCCUGUCUGUUUUUGCACUUCCCCUGAGCUUUCUCAUCCCCCCACCUUCCUCCGGCUCAUGUCUACCAUGCUGUCUCCUCCUCCUCAUCUUUCAAACCCCACGAAACUGUCACCUGCUCUGUGAGUCUUCUCGGUCUCUCCCCAUGAGAUGUUUUGGUGGAUGGUCAUAGCUGGUCAUCCAUCUUCCAGGCCUUGAUGAUGGCAAUCACCGUGCUUUAUGUGGACAUCUGCUGCCCUGUGCCUGAGCUUGGGAGAAGCAUGCACUGUGGCCAGGCACUGUGACAUGUUCACCAAAGUGACUGUUCUCUCCCGGCCCAAGGGAAGACUGAUUCCCAGACUCUUCUGCAUCCAGUCAAGGGGCCAGAGGAGGACUUCUCCCAAGCUCAGGCACAGGGCAGCAGAUGUCCACACAAAGCAUGGUGAUUGCCAUCAUCAAGGCCUGGACGAUGACCAGCUAUGACCAUCCACCAAAACAUCUGAAGGAGGGUGUAGAAUCUAGAUGGAAGAGGCUGGGGUUCCUGAAGGCUCGUGUGGAGUCCUUUAUACCCUCCGACCUGCACUGAACCGCAAUCUGGGUGGCAUGUGCAGGAGGAUGGAGGAGGUCUGCAGGCAACACGCACCUGCCUCCCGGAGACAGGCCACCCAUUCCUGGGACUGAGAUGUCAGCCAAGCCCCUUCUUCAGCAGACACUGAAGACCCACAGCACGUUGGGGAAGUAAGGGCUGGAAAAAAGCCCUCUCCUCCAUUUUAUAGGUGGGGAAAACCAAGGCGAGGAGUCUGAGGGACUUGCCCAAAUGGCCUUGUUACCAUAGGCACAGAACUGGAACCCAGGACCCCCUCCCACCUCCGGCCCGAGCUUCUUCCCUGAACUCUGGGGGGAAGGAGUGGUAUCUGCUCAUAGGACAGGUGGUGGGGUGCCAGAGGGGCCUGGCACGCUGCACCUCUGGGCCACCGCGCCCGCACUUCCUGCAGAGGGCUGGGGAGGCGGGGGAGCGGCCCGGGGUCCAGCUCUCCCGGGGGCAGCCCGCCGCCUUUCUCACACCCACAGGCCAGAGGCCAAGGGUUAGGGUUGCGGAACCGGUGCUCGGCUCCGCUCCUGCCUGAAAUACACGCUGGCUGGGGCCGGGUCAGGACCUCGGCUGGGCCCACAGGGAGGUGAAGAGGAGCGAUGGGCCAGCGUAGAAGGCGCCGAGGGCCAGGAGGGGGCGUGGCCAG